UGGAUUCAUCUUAUACUUCAUGAAAGGUGUAGAGGAAGAAGAAAACAACGCUAAAAUGCCAGCUAAGAAAAGAAAGCCACAAGAGACUGCUGAUAGCAAAGAAACUGCAAAAAAGAGUCCGUCGAAAAAAUCGAAGAAAGCCACCGAAACACACGAUUUCAAACUCGUUGUUGAAUAUUGCAAAUCCUGACAAGUAUUCAAGCGCAGGGCUGAAACAGUAGUAGCAGACUUGCGCCAGAUCUUUGGUGAGGUGGAAGUUGAGUUCAAUCCUUCCAAACCUCGCCGUGGAAGUUUUGAAUUUACCCUUGUUAAGGGUGGAAAGGAAACUUUGAUAUGGACAGGAGUAAAGAAAGGGCCACCAAGAAAGAUGAAAUUCCCGGAAACACCAGAUCUAAUUAUUGAGGAAGUCAAAAAGAACCUAUAAAUUGUGUAAAUUGUAUAUAAAUAGAAGAACAUGAUCCUUGCAAGAACUCAACACAUAACGGAGAGUAUGGAUGGGGUCCUUUAUUUCUGUUUUCUUUAAAUUUUAGGGCAUUUUUCUUUAUCUUCCAAAAUAAUGCUUACUCUGUAAAAUUCUCAGGAAAAUGAUUUUACCAUUAAAAUGUUCUAUAGUUAGAUGAUUUCUUUAUUCAGUUAAUCAUUAUCAGUAUUAUAAUACCUAAUUCCUUUAUUUUCGAGUCAUUCUCUAUACUAUUGAUCCUCAUUAUUCUCUAUUCUUUAUAUUUUUUUUGCCAUUAUUCUCUAUUCUGUAAACCCCAUCCAGACCCUCAUAAUGUACAUUCAUCAUGAACAUAAUGUAGAAUAUUACAUCCUUGUUGUUUCAACUUGAUUGAUGUUUUUUGUUUUUGAAGUUUUAAUGAAGGGAAUAAGUACAAAGGGAGAUUACUCUCUACUUAUUUCUGGAACAGAUGUAUAACUUCUAGCAAGAACAUAGAUUGAUUUGUUAUAAACUUAACAAUUGCAGAUAUUUUAGGUAGAUU